GACGAACGCUGGCGGCGUGCCUAACACAUGCAAGUCGAACGGAGUUGCCCUUCGGGACAACUUAGUGGCGAACGGGUGAGUAACGCGUGAGAAACCUGCCUUUCAGUGGGGGACAACAGUUGGAAACGACUGCUAAUACCGCAUAAUGUAUCGAGAGGGCAUCCUCUUGAUACCAAAGAUUUAUUGCUGAAAGAUGGUCUCGCGUCUGAUUAGCUAGUUGGUGGGGUAACGGCCCACCAAACCGACGAUCGGUAGCCGAACUGAGAGGUUGAACGGCCACAUUGGAACUGAGAUACGGUCCAGACUCCUACGGGAGGCAGCAGUGGGGAAUAUUGGGCAAUGGGGGAAACCCUGACCCAGCAACGCCGCGUGAAGGAAGAAGGCCUUCGGGUUGUAAACUUCUUUUAGCAGGGACGAAGGACGUGACGGUACCUGCAGAAAAAGCAACGGCUAACUACGUG
rnacentral:rRNA from 1 species